UAGGGAAUCUUCGGCAAUGGGGGCAACCCUGACCGAGCAACGCCGCGUGAGUGAAGAAGGUUUUCGGAUCGUAAAGCUCUGUUGUAAGUCAAGAACGGGUGUGAGAGUGGAAAGUUCACACUGUGACGGUAGCUUACCAGAAAGGGACGGCUAACUACGUGCCAGCAGCCGCGGUAAUACGUAGGUCCCGAGCGUUGUCCGGAUUUAUUGGGCGUAAAGCGAGCGCAGACGGUUUGAUAAGUCUGAAGUUAAAGGCUGUGGCUCAACCAUAGUUCGCUUUGGAAACUGUCAACUUGAGUGCAGAAGGGGAGAGUGGAAUUCCAUGUGUAGCGGUGAAAUGCGUAGAUAUAUGGAGGAACACCGGUGGCGAAAGCGGCUCUCUGGUCUGUAACUGACGCUGAGGCUCGAAAGCGUGGGGAGCGAACAGGAUUAGAUACCCUGGUAGUCCACGCCGUAAACGAUGAGUGCUAGGUGUUGGAUCCUUUCCGGGAUUCAGUGCCGAAGCUAACGCAUUAAGCACUCCGCCUGGGGAGUACGACCGCA
rnacentral:rRNA from 1 species